AGGCAUCAUUGUUCUUUCAUUUCUUAUAACAAGCCUCACAUACUCGCUGUCUUCCUUUACAUGACUCCCACUGCUAAUAUUGGCUUUCUCCAAAUCAUCAGUCGACUCAGGCAUCAUUGUUCGACACCAGAAACCAGUAAUCGAAGGAUGGGAAAGGAUUUUCAAGAAAAAUUACCGGUGACCGGUAGAGGCACAGUUCCGGCGAAGUACCACUAUCUAAGGAGAAAUGCUG
rnacentral:misc_RNA from 1 species